rnacentral:misc_RNA from 1 species
UUGCGCUGUCGUCAACUGCGCACUUCCGACAUGCAAUCAUAUAAAAGGAAGUGGUGCACAGCUGAAAGAUUCUCGAGUGAUCUCUGAUCUGUCACUUUCAAGUGCAAUACGCAAAACGUGUACUUCUUGAAAGAAAUAAAUUUCUUUUUUAGUCAUCUUCGGUGUCAGUUGAACAAAUGCGUUGGCAGGACGCAAAAAGCCUGCCUUCAAAUUUUCUACCGCCGUGGAAAAAAUAAUGUUUUUUUUUAACUUGGAGCAAUAACCGUGGAGAUAAUUAUCGGUUUUUGUGAUCGGACGAAGCGCAUUCCCUGUGUCGCCAGCAAGACGAAAUAGUAUUUCGUAAACACAUAAUCUUUCUCAAGGAACUCAAGGAAUUUCCUACGGUUAACCAUGGCGUUCACGAAUGUCUUGCUGCUCAGUCAGAUUGCAGGAUACGUUGUAGCUCUGAUUCUGUCUCUAUGCAUUGUUGUUCCUAUGAGUCUUCACCAGGAUGAAUUCCGAGGUCAUUGUCUGCUCUUCUCGACAGGCAUUUGGCAAGAGACCGAUGGUCAAUUCGUCGUAAAUUGGUCAUCACGUAUUUACUGCAAUUAUACAAUAUUCGUGGGUCUUGUAUUAUUUUUGACUGCUGUGGUACAGAUUUAUCGCCUCUCAAUGUUGAUGUACAGAGGAGAAGACAGUUCAUUCCUUUCUGCUUUCAUGGAUGUUGUCAGUUCAAUAUUUUUGACAGGGAUGACCCUCGUUGCGGCAGUUUUGAUAACUCUGGGUUUCAUGACCUGGUGUCAAUGCAUGACCAAAAGAUUUCCAUCCUGCGAAUUAGCAGCGGGCAAUGAUAUCGACAAAACUGAUAACAUUGACACUUCCGGAUUUCAUAUUGAACUCGGGGCUGCACAAUUCGGUGCAUGGAGUAGCCUCUCCAUAUGGGUUGGCCUUUCAGUUUUUGCUGUUCUCAAAGUUCUCAGAUAUCAUCAACUCGAAAACAUGAAAGUAUCCAUGUACACAGAGCGACAAAGAUUAAUAGAAGCCACUAAUGCCAAUCAGCAGGCAGAAACGAGUUAGAGUCAGGAUCACAAUUUAUAUGCUCUAUUCCAUUGAUUCAGCCGACAUCAAAGUUUGCGUCAUUGGGAUUGUUGGCACAUAUUGGUACAGCAUCGUCCAAAGGCUUGUAAACGUAAUUCUCGGCGGGACACGGUCCUUGUCUGAAAGCUUCGUGGCAGGUUUCGUUCAGUGGAAAAUAUAAAAAUCCGGGCCUGCAAUCG